UACAGAGGUCUCAAGCGUUGUUCGGAUUCAUUGGGCGUAAAGGGUGCGUAGGCGGUUCGGUAAGUCGGGUGUGAAAACACGAGGCUCAACCUCGUGCGUGCAUCCGAUACUGCCGGACUAGAGGUAGGUAGGGGAGAUCGGAAUUCCUGGUGUAGCGGUGAAAUGCGCAGAUAUCAGGAGGAACACCGGUGGCGAAGGCGGAUCUCUGGGCCGGUACUGACGCUGAGGAGCGAAAGCGUGGGGAGCAAACAGG
rnacentral:rRNA from 1 species